UGACCCCAGCUCAGGCGAGAACACCUGCUACAUUUCAGCAUAUAAUUAAGCGGGGGAAAAUAAACUGACAAGGAUUCCCCUAGUAACGGUGAGCGAACUGGAAAGAGUCCAACAUGAAAAUCAGGUACUAGCGUCGCUUGAAUUGUAGUCUGUAUAAGCAUCCUUAGCGAUGGAUUGGGCCUAAUUCCCCUGGAAGGGGGCACCUGAGAGGGUGAUAUCCCCAUUGGGCUGAGACCCUGCCACACCACGAGGUGUUGUUGAUGAGUUGGGUUGUUUGGGAAUGCAACCCUAAUCGGGUGGUAAAUUCUUUCCAAGUCUAACUAUAGAAAGUUAGAUAUAGUUCCUAUUGAUUCACAUUGUAUACCAUCAAAGGUCUAUGAAUUGGUCAAGGUGGAAUGAGAAUGGGAGAACCAAAGUGUUUCUAUAUUGAAUUAGAUAUAUGAACUAUCUCCAUGAUAUAAGGACUCAUUUAGAAAAUGAGACAUAGUUGAAUGUUUCUAAGUCUUAGAUAACUAUAACAUCGAAGUUGGCAUGUUAUAAGGACAAUUGAAUCUAAAUAAAAUUGAAUGACAUCACUGAGAUUGUGAGUGAUAGAGACAAACACCUAAUUACUUUAAGUUUACUUAUAAAUUAUUCUUAUUUUUGUUGCUAAUAUAAAGAUCUAAACAUGGUUUUCAACAUAUGUGGUU
rnacentral:ncRNA from 1 species